AUACGAAGGGUGCAAGCGUUACUCGGAAUUACUGGGCGUAAAGCGUGCGUAGGUGGUUGUUUAAGUCUGUCGUGAAAGCCCUGGGCUCAACCUGGGAAUGGCGAUGGAAACUGGGCGACUAGAGUGUGGCAGAGGGUAGUGGAAUUCCUGAUGUAGCAGUGAAAUGCGUAGAGAUCAGGAGGAACAUCCGUGGCGAAGGCGACUGCCUGGGCCAACACUGACACUGAGGCACGAAAGCGUGGGGAGCAAACAGGAUUAGAUACCCUGGUAGUCCACGCCCUAAACGAUGCGAACUGGAUGUUGGGUGCAAUUUGGCACGCAGUAUCGAAGCUAACGCGUUAAGUUCGCCGCCUGGGGAGUACGGUCGCAAGACUGAAACUCAAAGGAAUUGACGGGG
rnacentral:rRNA from 1 species